rnacentral:rRNA from 1 species
CGGAGGGUGCAAGCGUUAAUCGGAAUUACUGGGCGUAAAGCGCACGCAGGCGGUCUGUCAAGUCGGAUGUGAAAUCCCCGGGCUCAACCUGGGAACUGCAUUCGAAACUGGCAGGCUAGAGUCUUGUAGAGGGGGGUAGAAUUCCAGGUGUAGCGGUGAAAUGCGUAGAGAUCUGGAGGAAUACCGGUGGCGAAGGCGGCCCCCUGGACAAAGACUGACGCUCAGGUGCGAAAGCGUGGGGAGCAAACAGGAUUAGAUACCCUGGUAGUCCACGCCGUAAACGAUGUCGAUUUGGAGGUUGUGCCCUUGAGGCGUGGCUUCCGGAGCUAACGCGUUAAAUCGACCGCCUGGGGAGUACGGCCGCAAGGUUAAAACUCAAAUGAAUUGACGGGGGCCCGCACAAGCGGUGGAGCAUGUGGUUUAAUUCGAUGCAACGCGAAGAACCUUACCUGGUCUUGACAUCCACAGAACUUUCCAGAGAUGGAUUGGUGCCUUCGGGAACUGUGAGACAGGUGCUGCAUGGCUGUCGUCAGCUCGUGUUGUGAAAUGUUGGGUUAAGUCCCGCAACGAGCGCAACCCUUAUCCUUUGUUGCCAGCGGUUCGGCCGGGAACUCAAAGGAGACUGCCAGUGAUAAACUGGAGGAAGGUGGGGAUGACGUCAAGUCAUCAUGGCCCUUACGACCAGGGCUACACACGUGCUACAAUGGCAUAUACAAAGAGAAGCGACCUCGCGAGAGCAAGCGGACCUCAUAAAGUAUGUCGUAGUCCGGAUUGGAGUCUGCAACUCGACUCCAUGAAGUCGGAAUCGCUAGUAAUCGUAGAUCAGAAUGCUACGGUGAAUACGUUCCCGGGCCUUGUACACACCGCCCGUCACACCAUGGGAGUGGGUUGCAAAAGAAGUAGGUAGCUUAACCUUCGGGAGGGCGCUUACCACUUUGUGAUUCAUGACUGGGGUGAAGUCGUAACAAGGUAACCGUAGGGGAACCUGCGGUUGGAUCACCUCCUUACCUUAAAGAA